GGAUAGGUGCAGGAGUGGCUUAACUGGCACGCCUGGAAAGCGUGUGUACCUUCACGGGUACCGAGGGAUCGAAUCCCUCCCUCUCCG
rnacentral:tRNA from 1 species